rnacentral:rRNA from 1 species
GAUGAACGCUGGCGGCGUGCCUAAUACAUGCAAGUCGAGCGAACGGACGAGAAGCUUGCUUCUCUGAUGUUAGCGGCGGACGGGUGAGUAACACGUGGAUAACCUACCUAUAAGACUGGGAUAACUUCGGGAAACCGGAGCUAAUACCGGAUAAUAUUUUGAACCGCAUGGUUCAAAAGUGAAAGACGGUCUUGCUGUCACUUAUAGAUGGAUCCGCGCUGCGUUAGCUAGUUGGUAAGGUAACGGCUUGCCAAGGCAACGAUGCAUAGCCGACCUGAGAGGGUGAUCGGCCACACUGGAACUGAGACACGGUCCAGACUCCUACGGGAGGCAGCAGUAGGGAAUCUUCCGCAAUGGGCGAAAGCCUGACGGAGCAACGCCGCGUGAGUGAUGAAGGUCUUCGGAUCGUAAAACUCUGUUAUUAGGGAAGAACAUAUGUGUAAGUAACUGUGCACAUCUUGACGGUACCUAAUCAGAAAGCCACGGCUAACUACGUG